rnacentral:rRNA from 1 species
GACGAACGCUGGCGGCGUGCUUAACACAUGCAAGUCGAGCGGUGAACCUCUUCGGAGGGGAUCAGUGGCGAACGGGUGAGUAACACGUGGGCAACCUGCCCCCGGCUCUGGGAUAACUCCAAGAAAUUGGGGCUAAUACCGGAUGUUCACCGCUUCCCGCAUGGGUGGUGGUGGAAAGGGUUUCCGGCUGGGGAUGGGCCCGCGGCCUAUCAGCUUGUUGGUGGGGUAGUGGCCUACCAAGGCGACGACGGGUAGCCGGCCUGAGAGGGUGACCGGCCACACUGGGACUGAGACACGGCCCAGACUCCUACGGGAGGCAGCAGUGGGGAAUAUUGCGCAAUGGGCGGAAGCCUGACGCAGCGACGCCGCGUGGGGGGUGACGGCCUUCGGGUUGUAAACCUCUUUCAGCAGGGACGAAGCGCAAGUGACGGUACCUGCAGAAGAAGCACCGGCCAACUACGUG